rnacentral:other from 1 species
UUUUCCCUGGCCUGUUGGUGAUUUUCAGUGUUGUUGAGCCAACUCUCUUAAAAAGGGUAACUCCUCUGUAUCAGAAUGGAAAAUCGCUUGCGAAUUACCAGAUGGAUAUAUGAGUGUGCCCACCUAUUUAAUAGGUUUAACGUUCCUGGAGACACGGCAGGGUGGGGAAAUU